AAGCAUGUAGGCGGAGGUUCCAGGUAAAUCCGGUACCUUUUUAACGCUGAGGUGUGAUGACGAGGCACUACGGUGCUGAAGUAACAAAUGCCCUGCUUCCAGGAAAAGCCUCUAAGCAUCAGGUAACACGAAAUCGUACCCCAAACCGACACAGGUGGUCAGGUAGAGAAUACCAAGGCGCUUGAGAGAACUCGGGUGAAGGAACUAGGCAAAAUGGUGCCGUAACUUCGGGAGAAGGCACGCUGAUAUGUAGGUGAAGUGAUUUACUCAUGGAGCUGAAAUCAGUCGAAGAUACCAGCUGGCUGCAACUGUUUAUUAAAAACACAGCACUGUGCAAACACGAAAGUGGACGUAUACGGUGUGACGCCUGCCCGGUGCCGGAAGGUUAAUUGAUGGGGUUAUCCGUAAGGAGAAGCUCUUGAUCGAAGCCCCGGUAAACGGCGGCCGUAACUAUAACGGUCCUAAGGUAGCGAAAUUCCUUGUCGGGUAAGUUCCGACCUGCACGAAUGGCGUAAUGAUGGCCAGGCUGUCUCCACCCGAGACUCAGUGAAAUUGAACUCGCUGUGAAGAUGCAGUGUACCCGCGGCAAGACGGAAAGACCCCGUGAACCUUUACUAUAGCUUGACACUGAACACUGGUCCUUGAUGUGUAGGAUAGGUGGGAGGCUUUGAAGUGUGGACGCCAGUCUGCAUGGAGCCAACCUUGAAAUACCACCCUUUAAUGGCUGGUGUUCUAACGUGGGCCCGUAAUCCGGGUUGCGGACAGUGUCUGGUGGGUAGUUUGACUGGGGCGGUCUCCUCCUAAAGAGUAACGGAGGAGCACGAAGGUUAGCUAAUCCUGGUCGGACAUCAGGAGGUUAGUGCAAAGGCAUAAGCUAGCUUGACUGCGAGAGUGACGGCUCGAGCAGGUGCGAAAGCAGGUCUUAGUGAUCCGGUGGUUCUGAAUGGAAGGGCCAUCGCUCAACGGAUAAAAGGUACUCCGGGGAUAACAGGCUGAUACCGCCCAAGAGUUCAUAUCGACGGCGGUGUUUGGCACCUCGAUGUCGGCUCAUCACAUCCUGGGGCUGAAGUAGGUCCCAAGGGUAUGGCUGUUCGCCAUUUAAAGUGGUACGCGAGCUGGGUUUAGAACGUCGUGAGACAGUUCGGUCCCUAUCUGCCGUGGGCGCUGGAGAAUUGAGGGGGGCUGCUCCUAGUACGAGAGGACCGGAGUGGACGCAUCACUGGUGUUCGGGUUGUCAUGCCAAUGGCAUUGCCCGGUAGCUAAAUGCGGAAGAGAUAAGUGCUGAAAGCAUCUAAGCACGAAACUUGCCCCGAGAUGAGUUCUCCCUGAGACUGUAAGUCUCCUGAAGGAACGUUGAAGACGACGACGUUGAUAGGUCGGGUGUGUAAGUGUAGCGAUACAUUGAGCUAACCGAUACUAAUGAACCGUGAGGCUUAACCUUACAACGCCGAAG
rnacentral:rRNA from 1 species